UUAAAGAAAAAUUAAAUGGUCAACGUGUUCAGGAGAUUGUGUGCUCUGAGCAUAGCGUCCUAUGUGACCUGCCGUACUAAACACACGCUCUGAAGGUACACUAGCUUACGAGCUACUUAUAAAUGACAAAAUCAGAAUGAUCUUACACCCGGCCCACAUACCGCAAUGAAUGACGGCCCCUUGAUGGCCCAGAUUUGGUUUGCCAGAGGUGGCCCACACAUGGGCCAGCACAAAGCCAGAUGCAGACAUGUUGGUGGCCCUGUUCUGGCCCAGAACAGUUUCAGCUCGGGCACCAAAUGUCAGCCUAUGUGUACCUUAAUCAAGUCAUAAAAUACCUACUUAAUAUUAAUUCAAUAUUCAUUGAAAUAUUAAGUUACCUCAUCAUUCAAAUAAAGUUUCUCUAACUUAAUUUUUUUGUUUUCUACUCAGAAAUGUCCAUGCAAAUAGUUAAAACACUUUCUUUAGUAUUAGUACCUUGUUUUACUUGAGUCAGGGGAAAUAAAAAGCAACCGCAUUUCACAAUUCACAAUAGUGGGAACCAUACUCUUACUUGAAAUUCUGUAAUUCUUGUAAUUGCCAAAAUGACCUAAAUGUAGGCUAAUAUGGGGCAUCAGCAUGAUACACAUGAAAAUUGACUUUUGUUUAAAUUGAAAAUUUAAGCUUUUAUUUGAAAAGCUCUGUUGUAAUAACUGUACUAUCAUUUUUUAGAAUACAAGAAGCGAUGGGCUUGGCUGAAAGACACCAAGAUACCGAACUGGAUCAGAGAUCACAUGACAAUCAGGAUAUGGAGGCAUCUUCACCUGCUGAUCAAAAUAAAGCAAACACAGAGGAGGUCUUCACUCAGAAAGUGGAGCAAGCAAUCAAGGAGGAGGCAUGAUUUUCUGGGUCCUGCAUCAUGUUUUUGCAUCUUAUGAACUUCAUAUGGUUUCAUGUAAGGUUUUCAUUGAGAUAUACUGUAUCUAUAGAGAUUCAGGGUGUUCACCGUUAGAUUAAGUUUAAAAGCUUCAGGACAUUUGGUGCUGUCAGAGUGAAUAUAGUGUGAAUCCUAUUUUUAAAGCCUCCCUGCUCUUGAUCUGAGUAUUUCCUCUUUAAUUGGUGUGAGGCUACCCCACCGAACCAGUCACCAAGCUGAACACCAGCCAAGGGUGAAGCCAUUUGGUGGGGGGGCAGUAACAUAUGAUAUAACCAUGGUUUCCUCACUGCUGACCAGCAGAAGUGCUUAUGGAAUACGAUUGGAGAGUGAUUAUGACCCCGAUCUGGGGAGGAACUUUUAAUAUAAUGUGCUGACAAUUUUGACUAAAAUGACAGAAAAAAAUAAAUAUUUUAAUGUGUGGGCUACAUUGGACAAUAAAUGUACCUGUAUAACUGGGACUGAGACUGGCUGGAAUGAAAAGCCGAGAAACACGCAUGCAGGUGCGCAUGUGUUUUUGCAGGUGGAUAAUGUAGAAUGACAGGCAUGCAGGGGUGCUACCUCCUACCACUGGAGGGUGACCACCCUGAAUGGAUCACCACCUCAUCACAGGCCCCCUUGUGGUGUACUGUGGUAUACUGUGGUAUACUGUUUCCUAAUGUUCCACAAUAAACUUGCCCCUUCUUGGGUCCCUCUAUGCA